CCUACGGGAGGCAGCAGUGGGGAAUUUUGGACAAUGGGCGAAAGCCUGAUCCAGCAAUGCCGCGUGAGUGAAGAAGGCCUUCGGGUUGUAAAGCUCUUUUGUCAGGGAAGAAACGGUGAAAGCUAAUAUCUUUUGCUAAUGACGGUACCUGAAGAAUAAGCACCGGCUAACUACGUGCCAGCAGCCGCGGUAAUACGUAGGGUGCAAGCGUUAAUCGGAAUUACUGGGCGUAAAGCGUGCGCAGGCGGUUUUGUAAGUCUGAUGUGAAAUCCCCGGGCUCAACCUGGGAAUUGCAUUGGAGACUGCAAGGCUAGAAUCUGGCAGAGGGGGGUAGAAUUCCACGUGUAGCAGUGAAAUGCGUAGAUAUGUGGAGGAACACCGAUGGCGAAGGCAGCCCCCUGGGUCAAGAUUGACGCUCAUGCACGAAAGCGUGGGGAGCAAACAGGAUUAGAUACCCUGGUAGUCCACGCCCUAAACGAUGUCUACUAGUUGUCGGGUCUUAAUUGACUUGGUAACGCAGCUAACGCGUGAAGUAGACCGCCUGGGGAGUACGGUCGCAAGNUUAAAACUCAAAGGAAUUGACGG
rnacentral:rRNA from 1 species